AUGAACGCUAGCUACAGGCUUAACACAUGCAAGUCGAGGGGCAGCAUUUUAGUUUGCUUGCAAACUAAAGAUGGCGACCGGCGCACGGGUGAGUAACACGUAUCCAACCUGCCGAUAACUCGGGGAUAGCCUUUCGAAAGAAAGAUUAAUAUCCGAUAGUAUAUUAAAACCGCAUGGUUUUACUAUUAAAGAAUUUCGGUUAUCGAUGGGGAUGCGUUCCAUUAGUUUGUUGGCGGGGUAACGGCCCACCAAGACUACGAUGGAUAGGGGUUCUGAGAGGAAGGUCCCCCACAUUGGAACUGAGACACGGUCCAAACUCCUACGGGAGGCAGCAGUGAGGAAUAUUGGUCAAUGGACGAGAGUCUGAACCAGCCAAGUAGCGUGAAGGAUGACUGCCCUAUGGGUUGUAAACUUCUUUUAUAUGGGAAUAAAGUAUUCCACGUGUGGGAUUUUGUAUGUACCAUAUGAAUAAGGAUCGGCUAACUCCGUGCCAGCAGCCGCGGUAAUACGGAGGAUCCGAGCGUUAUCCGGAUUUAUUGGGUUUAAAGGGAGCGUAGGUGGAUUGUUAAGUCAGUUGUGAAAGUUUGCGGCUCAACCGUAAAAUUGCAGUUGAAACUGGCAGUCUUGAGUACAGUAGAGGUGGGCGGAAUUCGUGGUGUAGCGGUGAAAUGCUUAGAUAUCACGAAGAACUCCGAUUGCGAAGGCAGCUCACUAGACUGCAACUGACACUGAUGCUCGAAAGUGUGGGUAUCAAACAGGAUUAGAGACCCUGGUAGUCCACACAGUAAACGAUGAAUACUCGCUGUUUGCGAUAUACAGUAAGCGGCCAAGCGAAAGCAUUAAGUAUUCCACCUGGGGAGUACGCCGGCAACGGUGAAACUCAAAGGAAUUGACGGGGGCCCGCACAAGCGGAGGAACAUGUGGUUUAAUUCGAUGAUACGCGAGGAACCUUACCCGGGCUUAAAUUGCAUUUGAAUAAUCUGGAAACAGGUUAGCCGCAAGGCAAAUGUGAAGGUGCUGCAUGGUUGUCGUCAGCUCGUGCCGUGAGGUGUCGGCUUAAGUGCCAUAACGAGCGCAACCCUUAUCUUUAGUUACUAACAGGUCAUGCUGAGGACUCUAGAGAGACUGCCGUCGUAAGAUGUGAGGAAGGUGGGGAUGACGUCAAAUCAGCACGGCCCUUACGUCCGGGGCUACACACGUGUUACAAUGGGGGGUACAGAAGGCAGCUACCUGGCGACAGGAUGCUAAUCCCAAAAACCUCUCUCAGUUCGGAUCGAAGUCUGCAACCCGACUUCGUGAAGCUGGAUUCGCUAGUAAUCGCGCAUCAGCCAUGGCGCGGUGAAUACGUUCCCGGGCCUUGUACACACCGCCCGUCAAGCCAUGAAAGCCGGGGGUACCUGAAGUACGUAACCGCAAGGAGCGUCCUAGGGUAAAACUGGUAAUUGGGGCU
rnacentral:rRNA from 1 species